GAGAGAGAGAGAGAGAGAGAGAGAGAGAGAGAGAGAGAGAGAAAGAGAGGAGGGGAGGGGGCGGGGGGUCGAUUUGUUCGCUGUAUCGUCGCUGGAAAUGAAACGAAAUAUGAACUUUGAAAAUCGCGGUUAUUUCUCGACGAUUCGCAAUCGUUCGAUCUCUCGUUCACUCCAAUACGCGUGAAACGCGAACGAACACCCGUAAUAUUUGCAUUUCGUUCGUCUAACGUAUCGACAGAGUUCUUCUCUCGCGAUCAUUCUGAUUGGUUGAUAAUAUUUAUCGAAUGGUAAGGAAGAAGAGGAAGCAGACGACAUAAACUCGCAUACCGCUAUCGUUCUUCGCAUUGGCACAAUUCCUCUCGUUCGAGAUGUCGCGAUUCUUGAAUAAGUUCUCGUCUUUGACGAAAGGCGCGCGUGGAUUUACCGUUGUCGAAGUGAUCGUGUGUUUGCUGUAAACGAUUCUCACGGUACUUUUUUGCAUCGCUGGUGUACUCAUCUGAUGAAAAACUCGAUUCUUAGUAACUUGAGCAAACUUUGAUUUUCCCUUGCUCAACUUCCAACUGGCCGAGGUGGUCCGUAUGGUUGCUCGUUCGAUUUCUGAAAACAUUUCCCCUAUAUCGUGUAUCGUGUAACGAGAAGAAAGAUUCGAAGUGGAGGGGGGCAUUCUUAGAUUCACGUGCAAAAACGAAUGAUGGCACGUGAACGUUGUAUAAAGUUCGAUAUCGAAGUUUGUUGGUUAUUCGAGUGGAUGGUUCGAAAGAAGGGCAAGAG